UACGUAGGGGGCAAGCGUUGUCCGGAUUCACUGGGCGUAAAGCGCGCGCAGGCGGCGAUGUAAGUCUGGGGUGAAAACCCGGAGCUCAACUCCGGGACUGCCUUGGAUACUGUGUCGCUUGAGGAUAGGAGAGGCAAGGGGAAUUCCACGUGUAGCGGUGAAAUGCGUAGAGAUGUGGAGGAACACCUGUGGCGAAGGCGCCUUGCUGGCCUAUUUCUGACGCUGAGGCGCGAAAGCGUGGGGAG
rnacentral:rRNA from 1 species